GUUUUCUGAAGCAUUGCUUUAAUUAUGCCUAUAGCUAUCAUAAUAGAAUGACCUCGGUGCCUCUUCAAACUGUUCACUACUGUGAUUUGCGCACCUAACCUGCCGUAAUGAGGUGAGAAUCGAUUGUUGUGAGAUUAUUUUAUUAUGAGAUAGCAUGUUUCAAGAUUUUAAGGGACCAGAUGUUCCCUAGGAAUGGAGGUUCCUUGUAAAUAACAGCUCUAUGCAGCGUAGUGCAAGAACACAAUUUUGUUAGGAAAUUAGUUGUUAAACUGCAAAUGACUGAUAAACUAUAACCCUGUCAAAUUAAUACCCCGUUGAUCGGUCUUAAGUAAGAGUUGUAUGUAUGCUAAAUUAAUUUCCCGGCACAGACAUUAACACCAAGUGAUGCUUUUUAACCAUAGUGUUUGUCCAGUCUCGUAGCAUGUUGGGGCAUGCCCUAAACCAGCUGGCUAUCAAGGUAGACACGUAGAUGACCGCGUCUCCGUUUAAACGUUAUAGCUACGCUUUCGUUUUGCUUUGCUGUGUAGAUGACAUUCAAGAAAUAUAGUUUACUAAAAACGGGGUGGGCGCCUUCAGUGAGGUCAUGUGUUAAAUCUAUGCACGACAAUAGCUUUUUUUCUCAGUUUCUUUCAAUCACAGUAACAAAACGAAUAAUCGUUAAUUUGUCCAGAUCACGACGAAGCCUUUUUGUAUAAUUUGUUAUCGCUCAGGUUCUUUUCGGAAACCAGCCCUUAGGCGUUAGUUUAUAGCAUCUUGAUGCGUCAGUUACAAGAAAAACAACAGGAUACAGAACAGAAAAAUAACAGAAUGGCCAGGCACGCUAACUCUAAAGACAUGAUUCUUCUGCACAGUGAGAGGGGAAAGGACCCCCCAGGGACACCAGAGGGACACUACAUUUGUAAAGAGAAUGGGUUUGUGUAACAUAAAUUCAAAGCUAAACUAUAACAGAAGCUUCUAGAAAUUUACCUUUUUUGAAAACGUCUGUGAAAUUACCCGUAUUUAUGCAUAAUAAUGAAUGAGACCUAUUUAAGAUAGGUCUACUACACACACAAAAUUUUACAUGGCGUCUUCACUGAACUGGUUUAAAGAACCAAACUCAUUGAAAUGUACUGGUUUGCAUGGUUCUCCUGUUAUCUCUAGCAUGCUCAGGCUUUCAGAAGAGGCUGGCCUCCAGCGUCCUGCGCUGUGGCAAAAGAAAGUGUGGCUGGAAUCGAACGAAACGAACGAACUUGCCAACGCAAACUCCCGACAAUAAAUCCGUAAGAUGGUAAAGGACGGGCUGAUCAUUAAGAAGCCAGUGACGGUUCACUCCCGAGCCCGCUGCAGUAAGAACACGCUGGCGCGGAGGAAGGGCCGGCACAUGGGCAUCGGUACCACAGUCUUUAUUUAAAAGCAAAGGGCUACGUGUUUAAGAACAAGCGCAUAUUAAUGGAACACAUCCACAAACUCAAAGCAGAU